AAAAUUCCAAAAUCCAAUCAGGGAAAGCAAGGCAGCAACUCUACAUUUCUUUUUCCCCAUAUGUUCAUUCAGUUCAGGAAUCAACAUUCAUCCUGGAAUUGAAUUUCAUAAAUCAUGAGAAUAGUAAAGCUCCAUUUCAUAUAGGGUUAACGAGGUGACAUGUUAUAUCCCACCCUGUUUUAAGAGCGUUUGGCUCACUCAAAUUAACCAGGUAAAAACCCUCCCACUCCCCUCUUUCUCUGGAAUGGUAUAGAGAGGAAUUAAAGAGAGACUAGAGUAAUGAAAAUCUUCAUCUUUACUACAUUCUCAAUCUAACAUUGUUAAAUGUUCAUAUGUAACAAUUAGGUAACAUUCACA
rnacentral:misc_RNA from 1 species